CAGCAGCCGCGGUAAUACGAAGGGGGCUAGCGUUGUUCGGAUUUACUGGGCGUAAAGGGUGCGUAGGCGGACUGAUAAGUCAGGGGUGAAAUCCCAAGGCUCAACCUUGGAACUGCCUUUGAUACUGUUAGUCUUGAGUUCGAGAGAGGUGAGUGGAACUGCGAGUGUAGAGGUGAAAUUCGUAGAUAUUCGCAAGAACACCAGUGGCGAAGGCGGCUCACUGGCUCGAAACUGACGCUGAGGCACGAAAGCGUGGGGAGCAAACAGGAUUAGAUACCCGCGUAGUCCCUGUCUCUUAUAA
rnacentral:rRNA from 1 species